GCCUGCGUUCGAUUAGCUAGUUGGUUGGGUAAUGGCUGACCAAGGCGAUGAUCGAUAGCUGGUCUGAGAGGAUGACCAGCCACACUGGGACUGAGACACGGCCCAGACUCCUACGGGAGGCAGCAGUGGGGAAUUUUGGACAAUGGGCGAAAGCCUGAUCCAGCAAUGCCGCGUGCAGGAAGAAGGCCUUCGGGUUGUAAACUGCUUUUGUACGGAACGAAACGGUCUGCCUUAAUACGGUGGGCUAAUGACGGUACCGUAAGAAUAAGCACCGGCUAACUACGUGCCAGCAGCCGCGGUAAUACGUAGGGUGCGAGCGUUAAUCGGAAUUACUGGGCGUAAAGCGUGCGCAGGCGGUUAUAUAAGACAGUUGUGAAAUCCCCGGGCUCAACCUGGGAAUUGCAUCUGUGAC
rnacentral:rRNA from 1 species